AGGCUUUGAUCCUGGCUCAGAUUGAACGCUAGCGGCAUGCCUUACACAUGCAAGUCGAACGGCAGCACGGGGGCAACCCUGGUGGCGAGUGGCGAACGGGUGAGUAAUACAUCGGAACGUGCCCAGUAGUGGGGGAUAGCCCGGCGAAAGCCGGAUUAAUACCGCAUACGACCUACGGGUGAAAGCGGGGGACCGCAAGGCCUCGCGCUAUUGGAGCGGCCGAUGGCAGAUUAGCUUGUUGGUGGGGUAAUGGCCUACCAAGGCUACGAUCUGUAGCUGGUCUGAGAGGACGACCAGCCACACUGGGACUGAGACACGGCCCAGACUCCUACGGGAGGCAGCAGUGGGGAAUUUUGGACAAUGGGCGAAAGCCUGAUCCAGCAAUGCCGCGUGUGUGAAGAAGGCCUUCGGGUUGUAAAGCACUUUUGGCGGGAACGAAACAGCCUGGGCUAAUACCCCGGGCGACUGACGGUACCCUGCAGAAUAAGCACCGGCUAAAAUA
rnacentral:rRNA from 1 species